rnacentral:rRNA from 1 species
AACGAACGCUGGCGGCAGGCCUAACACAUGCAAGUCGAGCGAGGACUUCGGUCCUAGCGGCGGACGGGUGAGUAACGCGUGGGAACGUGCCCUUUGCUUCGGAAUAGCCCUGGGAAACUGGGAGUCAUACCGGAUGAGCCCUUUGGGGGAAAGAUUUCUCGGCGAAGGAUCGGCCCGCGUUGGAUUAGGUAGUUGGUGGGGUAAUGGCCUACCAAGCCGACGAUCCAUAGCUGGUUUGAGAGGAUGAUCAGCCACACUGGGACUGAGACACGGCCCAGACUCCGACGGGAGGGAGCAGUGGGGAAUCUUAGACAAUGGGGGAAACCCUGAUCUAGCCAUGCCGCGUGAGCGAUGAAGGCCGUAGGGUUGUAAAGCUCUUUCAGCUGGGAAGAUAAUGACGGUACCAGCAGAAGAAGCCCCGGCUAACUCCGUG